GACGAACGCUGGCGGCGUGCCUAACACAUGCAAGUCGAGCGAACCGUCGAGGAGCUUGCUCCUCUGACUUUAGCGGCGGACGGGUGAGUCACAUGUGGUUAACCUACCAAUAAGAAUUGGAUAACUUCGGGAAACCGGAUCUACUACCGGAUAAUAUAUUGAAAAGCAUGGUUCCAUAGUAAAAGUAGGUUGUGGUUUCACUUAAAGAUGGAUACGCGUCGCAUCAGCUAGUUGGUAAGGUAACUGCUUACCAACGCAACGAUGCGUAACCGACCCGAGAGCGUGGUCGGCCAGACGGGAACUGAGAAACGGUAGAGACUCCGACAGUAGGCAGCAGACGAGACUCUUCCGCAAUGGGGGAAAGCGUGACAUUGCAAAACGGAUUGAAUGAUGAAGGUGGUAGGAUCGGCAAACGCUGUUAUUAGGGAGGAAGAAAAGUUCAAGUAACUAUGCACGUAUUGACGGUACCUGAUGAAAAAGCCACGGCUAACUCCGUG
rnacentral:rRNA from 1 species